UACGAAGGGGGGCUAGCGUUGCUCGGAAUCACUGGGCGUAAAGGGUGCGUAGGCGGGUCUUUUAAGUCAGAGGUGAAAUCCUGGAGCUCAACUCCAGAACUGCCUUUGAUACUGAGGAUCUUGAGUUCGGGAGAGGUGAGUGGAACUGCGAGUGUAGAGGUGAAAUUCGUAGAUAUUCGCAAGAACACCAGUGGCGAAGGCGGCUCACUGGCCCGAUACUGACGCUGAGGCACGAAAGCGUGGGGAGCGAACGGG
rnacentral:rRNA from 1 species